AGUGAACGCUGGCGGUAGGCCUAACACAUGCAAGUCGAACGGCAGCACAGUAAGAGCUUGCUCUUACGGGUGGCGAGUGGCGGACGGGUGAGGAAUACAUCGGAAUCUACUUUUUCGUGGGGGAUAACGUAGGGAAACUUACGCUAAUACCGCAUACGACCUACGGGUGAAAGCAGGGGAUCUUCGGACCUUGCGCGAUUGAAUGAGCCGAUGUCGGAUUAGCUAGUUGGCGGGGUAAAGGCCCACCAAGGCGACGAUCCGUAGCUGGUCUGAGAGGAUGAUCAACCACACUGGAACUGAGACACGGUCCAGACUCCUACGGGAGGCAGCAGUGGGGAAUAUUGGACAAUGGGCGCAAGCCUGAUCCAGCCAUACCGCGUGGGUGAAGAAGGCCUUCGGGUUGUAAAGCCCUUUUGUUGGGAAAGAAAAGCAGCAGGUUAAUACCCCACUGUUCUGACGGUACCCAAAGAAUAAGCACCGGCUAACUUCGUG
rnacentral:rRNA from 1 species